rnacentral:lncRNA from 1 species
CUUUUCUGAAAGGGACCCUAAGAGAAACAACCAGCCUUAGGAAGCCCUGAGCAAGGAAGAGGUUGGAAUCAUCAUGGUGUGGCAUGCCAACACUUUAUAACUAUUAGACAUGGAUGAUCCAUUUCAUUUCCCUGAAUUAUCAUCCAGAAAAGGACCAUCUUGAAAAUUUGGGAUGAUUGGUCACCCAGAAGAACACUGUCAUUCUCAGGAAACAGGGUGCCCCUGACCUCACUAUGUAAUUAACAUCUAUGUAAUUUGUAAGUUUCCCCUCUGUCUCUUGUUUUUGGUAAUUUAUGUACUGAAACUAUAUUGAUUUUGCUCAUUCAUCUU